UCCAUAACAUUUAUCAAAACCCUUUUUUUUCUUCUCUCACUUCACUUUUCCUAUCUCUCGUCUCGCAUCUCUUUCUUUUUCUCCAGCCAGCAAAUUAAAGGCCCGUCUAUACAAGUUGACCAACUUCAAUCCCAAUCGCAAAUUCAACUCAUCCCCUGGAGAUGCCCAGAGAGGAAGGAGAGAACGGAAUUCGUAAAACACAUCAUUUUAAUCGCAACACCACGAUUCGAUGCAAUCCCAACUCCUUCAACUGCUCAAAGCGGAAGAAGAGGGAAGAGUUUUAGUAGAGCAAUACCAAUAGCAAAUCCUACAUCUAUAGAUGAUGCACCACCUUUAUUAGAUGCUUAAUGUGUUCAAGUUAACAAGUCAAUGCAUUCGUAGAGAUUGUACUGAACUUGCUGCGAGCUCGUCGUUAUACGUGGGUGUACCCAGACAGCUUCAGUUCAUAAGAACCUCAAUGGUUUCAUCAGGCACCAAAAGGAUGAAAGCUCCACCACCAUCUUCAAAGUCAGCUAAACGAAGUUGAGAUUCAAACGACACCCGUACAUAUAUCACUGAAGGACUAGGCACAAUGGCUUUGAUUUCUGAUGAAGCUCCCAUAAGAUGGGACAAGAUUAGUGAUCUAUUGCAGCAAGGCAAUAAAGAGGGAGCUACACCACCCACUGGGAUCAAAAGUAUGUGCUGAAGUUUUGAAGAGAAUGCGAAGGCGACGACGACGUGCUAUAACCACUGCUGAUUAUAACAGUGAAGCACUUCAUGAAUGAUAGAAGCGCAAGCUGACUGAAUUCAAGCUCAAGAUGACCAACUAUGCGCGCAAAAUGAGGCUAUCAAAAGGUUGAAGGAAGACAAUGAAAAUCUCACACUAAACAUGAUCUGAAAACAACAUCUGAUGCGUAGACUCGGGCUAUAGUCUGGUAUUUGAUUUUUACUGGUGAAAGUGUUUAUUUAUUUAGUGGUAGAGUUUAUUUAUCAGAUGUUUUUCAGUUUGGAUAUUGUCAUAAUUUGUUUUAAUGGUUAAUUAUUUUUUAUUCAACUAA